UACAGAGGUCUCGAGCGUUGUUCGGAUUCAUUGGGCGUAAAGGGUGCGUAGGUGGCGCUGUAAGUCGGGUGUGAAAUUUCGGAGCUUAACUCCGAAACUGCAUUCGAUACUGGCGUGCUUGAGGACUGGAGAGGAGACUGGAAUUCAUGGUGUAGCAGUGAAAUGCGUAGAGAUCAUGAGGAAGACCAGUGGCGAAGGCGGGUCUCUGGACAGUUCCUGACACUGAGACACGAAGGCCAGGGGAGCAAACGGG
rnacentral:rRNA from 1 species